AUUGAACGCUGGCGGCAGGCCUAACACAUGCAAGUCGAACGAGUGGCGGACGGGUGUGUAAUGUCUGGGAAACUGCCUGAUGGAGGGGGAUAACUACUGGAAACGGUAGCUAAUACCGCAUACCAUCAGAUGUGCCCAUAUGGGAUUAGCUUGUUGGUGGGGUAACGGUUCACCAGGGCGACGAUCCAUAGCUGGUCUGAGAGGAUGACCAGACACACGUGAACUGAGACACGGUCCAGACUCCUACGGGAGGCAGCAGAGGGGAAUAUUGCACAAUGGGCGCAAGCCUGAUCCAGCCAUGCCGCGUGUAUGAAGAAGGCCUUCGGGUUGUAAAGUACUUUCAGCGGGGAGGCGUUACCCUCAGAAGAAGCACCGGCUAACUCCGUGCCAGCCGCCGCGGUAAUUC
rnacentral:rRNA from 1 species